rnacentral:lncRNA from 1 species
CCCCCCUCCCCUCCUCGAUCAGUGAACCCGGGAUCCGACAGACAUCGCGGAAACGAGAGAGGGAGGGAAGCGAAGAGAAAAAAAAAAAAAAAAACACACACACACACACACCAAGAAAGAAAGAGGAACGUGAACGCUCCGCAGCCCUCGCCCCCGGACUCGCUCCGCGAACAUCAAAUGCGUGCCUCAUAUGCUGCGCAGAGCCGCCCCGCUUGGCCCCGGCUUCACAAAGCAGCCUCCGCUGCUGCCUCCCCGCCCGGCCGGCCCCCUCCGACCGGCCCUUUGAUGGCGAGCCCCGAGCCUCCCUCGGGCUCGCUCCCCGAGUCCCAGCUCCGUUUUUAAGGCGCCCGAAACUUCCGUGUCACGCCGGACCUCACGCCAGGACGGCUCCGCGCACGGGAAAGCCCCGGGCCGCCCUGCCCCACGUGCGCCUCGCCGCCCGCCCCGCCGGGAGGAGGAGGAGGAGGAGGAGGAGGAAGGGGGCAGCGGAGCCCCGGGCUCCCCCGGCGCGGGCACGGAACCGCUGCGGGCUCCCCGUGCCCUCACCUGGCCGCCCCGGGGCGCGCAGCCUCCCGGUGCCGAGCGGGGACCCCCCUUCUCCCGUCCCGGCGCCCCGCUCCUCUCCUCGGCCGCUGCCUCAGCGCCUUCCCCAGCACCGUGCCCCCCCUCCUCGCACCCCCCCGCGGGUUCUCCGGAGCGGACACCGCCACCCGCGGCUCCCCGAGCAGGCAUCUCCGCCAGCAACUGCCUCCAAACUUCCCCUCCGCCACCGCAGCCCCGGAGGCGCACCGGGAGAGGCGGCGUGUGCCCGCGGCCCCCCAGCCCGUCCCCCCGCCCCGAGCCGCAACUUUGGACCGCGUCCCCGUCGAAAGGGAAGGGGGGACACCGAGGGGAGCCCCGUCGAGCCCCCUAACCCCCCCCUCCGAGGGCUGCGGGGCGCGGAGCGCAGCACUGACCUUCCUGCCGCGCCGUGGGUCCCGCCGUCGCCUCGCCUCGCCUCGCCCCGCUGCUCUCCCCGGAAGGGCAGCCCCGUCGGGGGGCGGGCGUGGGGGUGCGAGGGGGAGGCUGGAGAAAAGUUUCCUGACCCCCCCCUCCCCCUUCUCCGGGGGGGGCGUGCGCCGCGGCUUGCCCCGCUGCGGGCGGGCGGGGAGCUGCAGGGCGCGGGGGGCAGGAGCGCGGCCGCCGCCUGCGCCGACGGGGCAGGUGCCCGCGGGGAGGGCUUCGCUUCUCGGCUCCGCUCGGCUCGGCUCAGCGGCGGCAGCGGGAGCAGCAGCAGCCCGCGAUGCUCAUUCCGGCUGCCGGCUCUGGUUUGGCAGCGCCAUGUUGCUGGCUUGCUCCGGGCGAAGUUCCUGCGCUGGCGAGCGCGGCGCUCCCCACAUCUCGCCCGCGCCGCCGUCUCCCGUGCCCUGGCCGCCGCGGCUUUGUGUGUGUGUGUGGCUGGGGAUUUAAUUCUCCUCCUCCUCUUCUCCUCCUCUCUCUCUCUCUCUCUUUUUUUUUUUUUUUUUUUCUUCCUCUCCCCCCCCUCCCCUCUUUAGUCCGCCGGGAAAGCCGCUCUUCCUCACCUUGCCGCUGGGAGACCGGGCUCCGUCUGCU